rnacentral:rRNA from 1 species
GACGAACGCUGGCGGCGUGCUUAACACAUGCAAGUCGAACGGAAAGGCCCUGCUUUUGUGGGGUGCUCGAGUGGCGAACGGGUGAGUAACACGUGAGUAACCUGCCCUUGACUUUGGGAUAACUUCAGGAAACUGGGGCUAAUACCGGAUAUGAUCUCCUGCUGCAUGGUGGGGGUUGGAAAGUUUCGGCGGUUGGGGAUGGACUCGCGGCUUAUCAGCUUGUUGGUGGGGUAGUGGCUUACCAAGGCUUUGACGGGUAGCCGGCCUGAGAGGGUGACCGGCCACCUUGGGACUGAGAUACGGCCCAGAAUCCUACGGGAGGCAGCAGUGGGGAAUAUUGCACAAUGGGCGGAAGCCUGAUGCAGCAACGCCGCGUGCGGGAUGACGGCCUUCGGGUUGUAAACAGCUUUCGCCUGUGACGAAGAGUGAGUGACGGUAAUGGGUAAAGAAGCACCGGCUAACUACGUG